rnacentral:rRNA from 1 species
GAGACAGCAGCAGCCACGGUAAUACGUAGGUGGCAAGCGUUGUCCGGAAUUAUUGGGCGUAAAGGGCCCGCAGGCGGUUUCUUAAGUCUGAUGUGAAAGCCCCCGGCUCAACCGGGGAGGGUCAUUGGAAACUGGGAAACUUGAGUGCAGGAGAGGAGAGUGGAAUUCCACGUGUAGCGGUGAAAUGCGUAGAGAUGUGGAGGAACACCAGUGGCGAAGGCGACUCUCUGGUCUGUAACUGACGCUGAGGAGCGAAAGCGUGGGGAGCGAACAGGAUUAGAUACCCCCGUAGUCCCUGUCUCUUAUAC